rnacentral:rRNA from 1 species
UACGUAGGCAGCAAGCGUUGUUCGGAAUUACUGGGCGUAAAGAGUGUGUAGGCGGUGCUCUAAGUCUGUCGUGAAAUCUCCCGGCUUAACUGGGAGGGUGCGGCGGAUACUAUUGUGCUAGAGGGUGGGAGAGGUAAGCGGAAUUCCUGGUGUAGCGGUGAAAUGCGUAGAUAUCAGGAGGAACACCGGUGGCGAAGGCGGCGUUCUGGACUGCAUCUGACACUGAAAGACGAAAGCCAGGGGAGCAAACGGG